GAAAUGCGAUAAGUAAUGUGAAUUGCAGAAUUCCGUGAAUCAUCGAAUCUUUGAACGCACAUUGCGCCCCCUGGCAUUCCGGGGGGCAUGCCUGUCCGAGCGUCAUUUCUGCCCUCAAGCACGGCUUGUGUGUUGGGUGUGGUCCCCCCGGGGACCUGCCCGAAAGGCAGCGGCGACGUCCGUCUGGUCCUCGAGCAUAUGGGGCUCUGUCACUCGCUCGGGAAGGACCUGCGGGGGUUGGUCACCACCAUAUUUCACCACGGUUGACCUCGGAUCAGGUAGGAGUUACCCGCUGAACUUAAGC
rnacentral:misc_RNA from 1 species